UACAGAGGGUGCAAGCGUUGCUCGGAAUCAUUGGGCGUAAAGGGCAAGUAGGUGGUCUCAUUUGUCUUGUGUGAAAUCCUUGGGCUUAACUCAAGAAGUGCGCAAGAAACGGUGAGACUCGAGUUCUGGAGAGGGUCGUGGAAUUCCCGGUGUAGCGGUGAAAUGCGUAGAGAUCGGGAGGAACACCAGAGGCGAAGGCGGCGACCUGGACAGAUACUGACACUCAACUGCGAAAGCGUGGGGAGCAAACAGG
rnacentral:rRNA from 2 species